AGAGUUUGAUCCUGGCUCAGGACGAACGCUGGCGGCAUGCCUAAUACAUGCAAGUCGAGCGAACAUUUAAAAGAGCUUGCUCUUUUAAAUGUUAGCGGCGGAUGGGUGAGUAACACGUGGGCAACCUGCCCUACAGAUGGGGAUAACUCCGGGAAACCGGGGCUAAUACCGAAUAAACAGUUUGUCCGCAUGGACAAACUCUGAAAGACGGUUUCGGCUGUCACUGUAGGAUGGGCCCGCGGCGCAUUAGCUAGUUGGUAAGGUAACGGCUUACCAAGGCGACGAUGCGUAGCCGACCUGAGAGGGUGAUCGGCCACACUGGGACUGAGACACGGCCCAGACUCCUACGGGAGGCAGCAGUAGGGAAUCUUCCACAAUGGACGAAAGUCUGAUGGAGCAAUGCCGCGUGAACGAAGAAGGUUCUCGGAUCGUAAAGUUCUGUUGUAAGGGAAGAACACGUACGGGAGUAACUGCCCGUACCUUGACGGU
rnacentral:rRNA from 1 species